rnacentral:rRNA from 1 species
CAUUAUUGAAUAAACUUGAACAGGCUGUUGCUGGUCUCUAGGGGCAUGUGCACGCUUGUCAUCUUUAUUUUUCCAACUGUGCACAUAUUGUAGACCUGGAGUCAUUGAUUCAUUUCGAGUUGGCACUGCAGUGCUUUUAACAGAAAGAAAGUCUGCUUUGCCUUUUGCUUUUCCAGGUCUAUGUCAUUUUUUCACAACCUCAAAUGUGUUUAGAAUGUUGAAUCAGGUCAUUUUUGUACCUAAUAAAUAUACAACUUUCAGCAACGGAUCUCUUGGCUCUCGCAUCGAUGAAGAACGCAGCGAAAUGCGAUAAGUAAUGUGAAUUGCAGAAUUCAGUGAAUCAUCGAAUCUUUGAACGCAUCUUGCGCUCCUUGGUAUUCCGAGGAGCAUGCCUGUUUGAGUGUCAUUUCAAGUUCUCAAACCACAUCAAUUUCUCGUUGGUGUGGAUUGGAUGUGGGGGAUUAUUCAUUUUGCAGGCUUCUGUCAAAAGAAGGUCGGCUCCCCUGAAAUAUAUUAGUAGUAUCUGAGCUACUUACAGGUGUGAUAAUUAUCUAUGCCUUUCAGUAUGCUGCAUAAACAGAUGGCACUGCUUCCAACGAGUGAAAAACCCUUAGGGGUCCACGUUUGACGAAUUUGACCUCAAAUCAGGUAGGACUACCCGCUGAACUUAA